UUAUGAGCUUUUAUGCAUUACUUUUGGUGUGUUAACAGCUUCUGCUGGCACCCAUUUGUGCUUAUAGUUGAAUGAUGAAUGCUCCAAGUUCCCUCAGUCGUUUCGCUAAUCAGUGGCCUGGCCUUCCAAAAUCAUGAGUUCUGAAAAAUGGACUGUUUUCCCUCCAUAUACUCACAGCUUCUGUGCUGAUGUGUGCAAAAGACGGCACAUUGAAAAGCCCUUGGAUGAGUUCAGGGGGCGUGCUGACCCCCAGCCACAGGAACAUGCUCAGACCAUUGGCCAGAAUGAAGGCCCCUCCUUCUGAGAGACGCUCCUCAGAGCAGCGCACUGCAGCUGGCACAGCGUCGCUCUUCAAAUCCAGGUUGUGCUGUAGGGCAAAAUGUGCGUAAGUUGCAAACAUGGGGACUUCAAGGUGAGCGAUGCUCUAACUAGACAUUGAAAAGUAAUAACAACAGGUUUAUUACACCUUAGUGGUUCCUUUCCAGAUGGAGGAAAUCAGGAGUCACUUCUUUUUCAAUUCGUACAUUACGUGCUAAAGAGCACCUCUCCACAAAUAUGAAGCUUGAGCACACCAGGCUCGAGCUUGACUAAAGCUGGCAUUUUUUAUUAGCCAGCUCAAAAACCAGGCUCAUGUUAAGCAUACAGUGGAGUUAUGAGAGGAUGCUGGUGGCAGUGACGGAUCAUGUUACUUCCCUGUUUUCUUUAAACUAGGGGUUCUUCCCUCCUACUUUUAGUUCAGCUAGCAACUACUUCCCUUUAAAAAAACUAAUCCAGCUUGGCCAUGUAGCAGCUGCGUGGCACAGAGAAAAUCUACAUCUUUACAGUUGAAAACAUCACAGCAAUUUAAAAUGAAAACAGUUUUACCGACAGCUAACAGAUGUGCAGAUAACAUACUUACUAUCGGCAGAAGCUGGGGAUAGAAGAACAGCUGUGUAUCAGCUACUCCCAUAGACAUGACCAGUUGUCGAUGGUACGCCCUCUCAUCAGUUGGAAUUUCUGGUCUGCCAGUCAGCACAGUGCUCUUCAGCAGACAGUUCAUGUACACUGGCAGCACCUUCAUUGCGUCUGGAAGGAUGAGCUGAGAGGCAGAGGAGGCUUUUAUUUAAUAUCUCCCAUGUGCUGGGGAAUGACAGCUGGUCUUUCAAGCUAAUAAUUGUUUUCUUUCACAAUAAGUACCUCACUGGCGUUCUAACACUUGGUCUUCACUGAGAGAAAUAAUUCAUUGCCCAGGCUUGUGAUUAUUAGAAGCAUUAAAUAGUACACAAAAGCCUAAUUGGAAAACAUAGUUUAAAGGAGACUAAAGGAAACAGUGUAAAUUGAAAGCCUCCAAUAUUGUUGGGAGUCCUUCGCUAUUAACCUCAGUACUGAAGUAGAAAAUUGCCAGUUGAAGUUCAGAAAAGUGAGGAAGAAGCCACUUUUGCAGCACCUCAAAAUCCAGAAGGGAGACGGAGUAUUGUGAGAGCUGUAAGAAAAACAGAAGUUGAAGGUUUAUGGGAUUUGAGUUCAGUUCAAGUCAAAGAUGAGGAUUGUCCUUUGAACUGGAACAAGGUUUGUGUCAGGAACAGCUGCUAAAAGGAUUUGAAAGCACCUUACCUUACUGUUUGUUAGUUUUGUGACACCCCCAAAUGCUCUGAAUUUGUAAAAAGAGUGAGUAGAUUACUAAAUGUGACAGCAUUUGAAAAUAAGAGGUGUCUUCAUUUGAGAGAAUUUUCAAGUAGUGUGGAACAAAAGUAAUGAGGGACCCACAGCUUCUUACUGCCUGCUGGUAAAUAAAGGAAUUAAGAAGUCAUAUUUUAAUCACCAUAGAUUUUUUUUUGGUAGGAGUAUGUUCCUGUCUCAAUGUCAGAUUUUUAGCAGUAGUGCAUUCUUGAUAUAUCUAUACGCAAAUUCAGGAUGCUAACUGGGUUAUCUCUGUCUUUUGACAGUAACAGUUGUUACAUGUCAAAAAAUCAGACCACUACAAUUGUUGCAGGAAUGGAAGAAAAAAGUGAAAGCUUCUAAGAGUUAGCAUGUAAUUCUACCAGGAAGAAAAGGCUUUGGCAUCUCUGUGGUACAGCUGUCACCUUCCUCUGCAGCACUGUCAUUCAUCCCAAAACAACAGCCUCUGUAUGUUGCUACCACUGCAUCCCACUGUCAUCAUAUUUGAAAGAAAACAAAAAAUACAAGCCAAAACAUGCAGGGCAUAACACCAACUGCAGCUAAACUAACUGGUCAGCUUUGCACUGCAUCUUCCACAAGAAACUCUCAUAUGAAACUCUCAACAACCCUACUGCAACAUCCAUACGCCAAGCACUUUUUCCGUCAUCGCUGCUACACCAGGUCUCCAAUCGUGAUUCCUGGAAGUUAACAAGGAAGCCAUCCAGCAAAGGAACAAAAACUUCUCCAACGUCUGAGACCACCAUCAUCUGAGGCUGAGCUAAGUUACUUUUCACAUUAAAGAAGUGGAGGACCUUGUUGUAAGUGACAAAACCAACUCGAAUUGCUGAGGAUUCUUCCUGUUCUUCUCUGUGAGAAAAAUUAAAAAACGACAGUUACAACUUUGAAACUCUGGCCUUGAAAUGCAAGGCUGCUGCAGAUGGCUGGCUGUAUCAGGUGCAACAAGGAGAACAACCACCAAGAAGAUGUAAUUAAUUAUCCCUCCUCUAAGCAGGAGCUACUCUGCGAUUAGCAGCAGCAUCGCUAUUAGUAUUAAUUGCACCCUUCCCAGGUUUACAGCCCUCAGUGUAGCAAAAGGUGAUCCUAUUAAAAAAAUUGGUCCCAAUUACAUGUGCAGUAGCACCUUCUGUUAGUUUCACAAGUUUCAUCAAAAAAAAUUCAGCUUGGGAGGGAAAAGAUUUUUCUCAUCUAUAAUUUUCAAUAUUCACGUCAAUACGGAAUGUUAAUCCACGACUGUUUUAUGGAGACUGUGCUGGAUGAGAAAGGGGCUGCUCUGAUCUAAGAGAAAUCAAUAUUCUAUAUUGAAAACAUUCCAUAAAGAAGUAUUUUAAAUAAUUUCUCCAAGAUACUCUACAACUCACUAAGAGGUAUAACUUCUGAGUGCACUUUUCUGAACACUUCAAGCACUCAGACACUACUAUUUUCUUAGUGACACUAUUAACAGAGAUCAUUCAGGAACUCAGGACAUACAGCACUUUCUUACUCACAAGAGAAAUAGCUGCAUCAUCCACUGGUCCCAGAGUUCUUACAUAGCAUUCUUACAUAGCAUUGCCUCUAGGACAAUUUUAACAGCACUCUGAUCUGUGAUGGUCUGCACGCUUUGCACAGCCCCAUUUUUCUUCAUAAUUUUAAAGAUCAGUUGCAAACACAGCAGCUGCUUACCUGUGCAGCCAACACACAACACUGUUCUUCAAGUCUCAAAAUGAGAUCUCAGUAUCACACAUGUUCAAAUGUUUUUAAGUUAUGUGUCUAAAAAUCACACUGGCACAACUAGUUAGCCUGACUUUCUGAGCUCGUGGGCAUAAUUUCUAUACAUGCGUUUCUAAAUCUAUCUCUAAAUAGUCAGGCUCCUGGUUUAGAAUAAGUAAAUUUGAAAAUGUUUAUCUUAACAUUUCAAGCAAGCAAACACUGUGUUUUCUGCUGUGCUACAAGUCUGCAAAAGAACAAAACCCUCUGAGCAAGAGGUCUUGGAGCCACCUGGCUCAAUCCAUUUGCUAGUUUUAACUUCUCAAUCCUCAUCCUCUUCCAGGCUUCUCUGCCACGCAUCUUUAUAGCAGUGCCCCUUUUCAUAUUGCUUUGAUACCAAGAAUUCUUUUCUCUUAAAGAAUUUGGACUCCCAGAAAUCUGAGCACAGGGUGAAUUCCCAGCAUGGGAACUGCAGCAAGUCAAAACUACAAGCUGGGAUUUCAUUAAUAACACCACUAGAGUUCACUGCACGAAAGGAAAAGAAAGAAUGCUGCAUGUGCAAUCAGUUCAACAGAUGCUUUCUGUUUGCACAGCAGUAAACCCAGACAUCAAUUUAAGAUUCUCAAAAAUUGCCAGCAAUGUUAAAAUUAACAAACUAACAUUUGGUCACUGUCACCUAUAAAAUGCUUGUAUUGUAAAUUGUGACAUUUCCUGCUUUCCUGAAUUCCCGCACAGCUGCAUGAUAACUGUAGCACAGGAAGUUAAGCCAAACACAUUUAUGUUUCUUUACCUGGGAAGUUUAUCGAGAAGAGUCUUCAGCUCAUCGCAUAUGAGUUUAACAAGGCCACUGUUUAUAUUUCUGUAUGAUACAUCAAUCAUGAAGAUAUAAGCAGGUGGAUUUGGAGGCUUGUUAUUCUACAGAAAAAAAUACCAUUAACAGGGAAAAUUAGACAGUGCCCCGUCAAAAAAGAUUUGCAAAUGGUACAGUAAGGCAAUCUACCUACAGUGUUCAGUCAUCUGAAGAAUGCUGUGGAUUAAAAAUAGUAAUCAUGACAGAAAGAUGAUGGAUUGGUAAGGUCCACCCUUGGAAUAAAACAGUAUGACCAGAAAGUAGCAUCCUACUAGCACACAGUAUUUAAAGGGCAACAGUUGAUUAAACUGUUUAAUUGUUUUAAUACUAACAUCUUCUAAUGGAAUUCAGUUAUUUAAACAAAUUUGUCUUUGGAUUUUUACACACAAUAAUCUUGCUAAUAGGAAUAUUUCAAUUUGGUUUUGUUAAGUGAUUUCUAACCAUUCUGGAAACAGAAAACACGACCCAAGUAUUGAACCAGAAAUAGAAUAUCUCAGUCCUUAGCAGUACUAAGCAUUGAUCAUCUGCAUCCUGUCUGGCUGGCUGUCUUGCUUUCUCAUGCCCCAGUGCGUUCUGAACAGCUAAGAAAGCUGUGUUUUCAGGAAUAAGCUGGUCUUCUCUAAGAUAAUUAAAGCAUGAGAGCAUCAUGUUCACAGUAUGCAACUGCUACAUGUGCAGCACUGACGUGGGCUGGUAUGGACUCCUUUGGGCACAGCUUCUUAGCCACAGUCUUAUGUAAACGCACACAAAGUGUACGACACUGUCACAAUAUUCUGUAAGUAAUACGAUGAUGAAGGUUUUGGUUUUAGUUUUAAAUAAAGCCAUGUCAUGCUUACAGAUGGACCCAGGAGAGGAAGAUCAUACAGAGCGUAGACAGCAACAGUAGCCAUCAUUGGUAGGAAAAGUGAUAUUAGUCUUGUGGCAAGCCUACGUCACUGAGACAAUGCAGUUAUUAGUUGGUGUUGAUCUCAGGACAACCCUUCCAUUAUUGCUACAUGCGGUGCUUCAUAGCCUUCAUGUAAAGACUUCUGACCACUAACCAACCACACUUGCAACAAAUAGACUUCAGAAAACUUUGUGUAAGAAAAAAAUCGUCUGUCCUUUGAAUUAUGACUUACUGUAGUCUCGGAACACUUAACGCUAAUCAUUAUACCCUUGAUCUCACCUCAUAUGAAUCAUGUAAAUCAAGAUUAACUCUUGUCAACUAAAACCAGACAGUAUUUUUAAAAGCUCUUCUGUCUUCUGUAUUUGGAUUCUAGUUUCAUAAACCGUAUCAAACACUAUGAAAUUUCUCAUAGCACGCUGCUGUUUGUAAAGAAUCCCUGCAUAAUUUCUGACAAAUAUAUGGCUGAAAUGAGAACUUGUGCUCUUGCCACAUCCGCUUAGCAGGAGCACAAUAAUGCAGAACAGCUGUUAUUUGUUAACAUUUUUUGUAGCUGUUCAUCCUUGUCAUUUGA